GACGAGUGGCGAACGGGUGAGUAAUGCAUCGGAACGUGCCCAGUCGUGGGGGAUAACGCAGCGAAAGCUGCGCUAAUACCGCAUACGAUCUGCGGAUGAAAGCGGGGGACCUUCGGGCCUCGCGCGAUUGGAGCGGCCGAUGUCAGAUUAGGUAGUUGGUGGGGUAAAGGCUCACCAAGCCGACGAUCUGUAGCUGGUCUGAGAGGACGACCAGCCACACUGGGACUGAGACACGGCCCAGACUCCUACGGGAGGCAGCAGUGGGGAAUUUUGGACAAUGGGGGCAACCCUGAUCCAGCAAUGCCGCGUGCAGGAAGAAGGCCUUCGGGUUGUAAACUGCUUUUGUACGGAACGAAAAGGCUCUGGUUAAUACCUGGGGCACAUGACGGUACCGUAAGAAUAAGCACCGGCUAACUACGUGCCAGCAGCCGCGGUAAUACGUAGGGUGCGAGCGUUAAUCGGAAUUACUGGGCGUAAAGCGUGCGCAGGCGGUGCUGUAAGACAGGCGUGAAAUCCCCGGGCUUAACCUGGGAAUGGCGCUUGUGACUGCAGUGCUGGAGUGUGGCAGAGGGGGAUGGAAUUCCGCGUGUAGCAGUGAAAUG
rnacentral:rRNA from 1 species